CGCUCCUAGAAUCUAAAUUAGGAGUCCAACCUGCUCGGUGAAUAUAAUGGUUUAACAGCCGCAGUAUCCUGACUGUGCAAAGGUAGCAUAAUCAUUUGUCUAUUAAUUGUAGACUUGUAUGAAUGGUUCCAGCAUUAAAUUCUGUCUCUAUAUAUAUUCUAUUUAAUUUAACUUAAAGGUGCAGAGGCCUUUAUUCAAAAAAAAGACAAGAAGACCCUAAAAGUUUUCAUUUUAAGAAGGUUAGUCUUCUAAGAUUUUAGUUGGGGCAACUGAGUAACAUUUUAAAGCUUACUUUACAGUUUUUUCUUUUUAGAUCCAUUAAUAAUGACUCAAGAAAAACUACUUUAGGGCUAACAGCAUAAUGUUUUUCUAAGAGCUCUAAUCGAAGAAUACGCUUGUGACCUCGAUGUUGGACUAGGGUAACCUACUAGUGUAGCCG
rnacentral:rRNA from 1 species